rnacentral:rRNA from 1 species
GACGAACGCUGGCGGCGUGCUUAACACAUGCAAGUCGAACGGAAAGGCCCUGCUCUUGUGGGGUGCUCGAGUGGCGAACGGGUGAGUAACACGUGUGUAACCUGCCCUUGACUUUGGGAUAACUUCAGGAAACUGGGGCUAAUACCGGAGAGGAUCUCCUGCUGCAUGGGGGGGGUUGGAAAGUUUCGGCGGUUGGGGAUGGACUCGCGGCUUAUCAGCUUGUUGGUGGGGUAGUGGCUUACCAAGGCUUUGACGGGUAGCCGGCCUGAGGGGGUGACCGGCCACAUUGGGACUGAGAUACGGCCCAGACUCCUACGGGAGGCAGCAGUGGGGAAUAUUGCACAAUGGGCGGAAGCCGGAUGCAGCACCGCCGCGUGCGGGAUGACGGCCUUCGGGUGGUAAACCGCUUUCGCCUGUGACGAAGCGUGAGUGACGGUAAUGGGUAAAGAAGCACCGGCUAACUACGUG